UCUUAGGCUAAAAAUCUGAUCUCUCUUGAGUUCUUUUUCUAAGCAUGUGAGAGAGCACCAAGGCUGCCCAUUCCCCCUCAAAAUCGUGAGCACACAUAGAGGAGAUAAAACACCUAAUCACUUCUUCUCCCUUCCCUCCUUGCUCAACCGUACACCAAGCAGAAAGCUUACAAGUUCCCUUCCCUUCCUAGCCUCCUCAAAACCGUGAGUGAUUGAAGAGAAGAACCAUCCUCAAAGUUUCCGCCUUCAUUCCCUCACCGAUUCGGUCCCACACCAGUGACCUUGAGAUGGAAGUUUAAGCACAUUCCUCUUCCUUAUUCUUGUUCGACUGAAAUCAACAUACAAGGAGUCUUGAUGGAGUCUUCUAUUUCCUUGCAUGCGGCUGUGAACUUAAUUCCUCGCAAGGCAGACCAAUAUAUUUUAAUUCUAAAUUAUCUCCAUUACACACUAAAACAACGAUGCUGAUGUUCAUUGAAUUGGUGACUGUUUUCUGCCACCAUUUUAAGAGAAACCUGGUUGCGAGUAAGAAGGAGGACGUAAAAGCAUUUGAUGAAGUAGUAUUUUGGAUAUCUGUUGUUGAGUGCUGCUGUUUUAAAAUCAUGAUGUUUGCCGCUGUUUAUUUGGCUGUGUGCUGAAUCUUGACGUUAUGUACUGUUUUGGGGAUUGACCAAGUGAAUAUAGUAUUUUAUUUUGGGAACACACAUUAGCUUGAUUAUUGUAUUUGCUAAGACUUAUGUAAUUCUGUUAUCUUAUUUUGACAAACAAUUUCUGCUGUUUAA